rnacentral:rRNA from 1 species
AUGGACGACGUCACCGCCGAGAUCCUCCUCCGCCUCCCGCCGGACGAGCCGGAGCACCUCUUCCGCGCCGCGCUCGUCUGCAAGCCGUGGCUCCGCAUCCUCUGCGACCCCGGCUUCCUCCGCCGCUACCGCGCCUUCCACGGCACCCCUCCCCUCCUCGGCCUCCUCCACAGGCUCAGGGUGAUCGACGGGGACGCGCCCGCCCGCUUCGCCUCCACCACGUCGGCGCCGGACUUCCCCCACCCGAGCUCCGACGGCCGCCGCACGCGCCCCCUCGACUGCCGCCAUGGCCGCGUCCUCGUCCGCAUGCUGGAGAACGAGGACGUGGAUUACCUCGUCUGGGACCCCGUCACGGGCGACCGCCACGCCGUCCCCACGCCGGACAUUGAGUCCGCGGCGGUGCUCUGCGCCGCCGACGGCUGCGACCACCUCGACUGCCACGGCGGCCCCUUCCGCGUGCUCUUCGCCGCCACCCACGACUACGAGGACACCAUAUGCGCGAGCGUCUACUCGUCGGAGACGGGGGCAUUGAGCGAGCCGGUGUGCCUCAACGACAGUUGUGAAACCUUUGCAAAGCAUAUGCGAGAGGGAGAAGCAUAUAGACGCUACUACACACCCUAUCUCCACCCUAAGCGAGGCACCGUUGUCGGAGAUGCAGUCUACUUCACGGUUCGGCUGGGUAAUGCAAUCGUCAAGUAUGACUUGGGCAAGAACAGCUUAUCCAUGAUUGACCCGCCGCCGCACACCAUGUAUUACAUUGCCCUCAUGGCGAUGGAGGAGAACAAUUCACUUGGCUUUACCUACAUUAAGGAUUCCAGCCUCUAUAUAUGGUCAAGGAAGGUGGAUACGGAAGGACCUGCGGAAUGGGUGCAAUACAGGGUCAUCGAACUGGAGAAAACGAUACCUGUUGCCAAACAAGAUGAGAAACCAUUUGUUGCUGGGUCUGCAGAGGGUGUGGGUGUCAUCUUUGUUUGCACAGGUGCUGGCUUAUUUAUGAUCAAGCUCAGCUCUGGGCAGCUUACGAAGGUUGAUGAGCCUGGGGUCUACUUUAGGGUCCUACCCUACAUGAGCUUCUACACUCCAGAUCGUGGCAGAAUGUUGUCGAUCUCUGGCGAGGACAAACUGAUCUCUUAA